rnacentral:rRNA from 1 species
GAUCAUGGCUCAGGACGAACGCUGGCGGCGUGCUUAACACAUGCAAGUCGAACGGAGCACCCUUGACUGAGGUUUCGGCCAAAUGAUAGGAAUGCUUAGUGGCGGACUGGUGAGUAACGCGUGAGGAACCUGCCUUUCAGAGGGGGGACAACAGUUGGAAACGACUGCUAAUACCGCAUGACGCAUUCGGGCGGCAUCGCUUGAAUGCCAAAGAUUUUAUCGCUGAAAGAUGGCCUCGCGUCUGAUUAGAUAGUUGGUGAGGUAACGGCUCACCAAGUCGACGAUCAGUAGCCGGACUGAGAGGUUGAACGGCCACAUUGGGACUGAGAUACGGCCCAGACUCCUACGGGAGGCAGCAGUGGGGAAUAUUGGGCAAUGGGGGAAACCCUGACCCAGCAACGCCGCGUGAAGGAAGAAGGCUUUCGGGUUGUAAACUUCUUUUACCAGGGACGAAGGACGUGACGGUACCUGGAGAAAAAGCCACGGCUAACUACGUG